rnacentral:rRNA from 1 species
CCUACGGGCGGCAGCAGUGGGGAAUAUUGGGCAAUGGAGGAAACUCUGACCCAGCAACGCCGCGUGAAUGAUGAAGGUCUUCGGAUUGUAAAGUUCUUUUCUAAGGGAAGAAGAAAGUGACGGUACCUUAGGAAUAAGCCUCGGCUAACUACGUGCCAGCAGCCGCGGUAAUACGUAGGAGGCAAGCGUUAUCCGGAAUGACUGGGCGUAAAGGGUGCGUAGGUGGUUCAGCAAGUUAGUAGCGUAAUUCCGGAGCUCAACUUCGGCACUACUACUAAAACUGUUGGACUUGAGUGCAGGAGGGGCAACUGGAAUUCCUAGUGUAGCGGUGAAAUGCGUAGAUAUUAGGAGGAACACCAGUGGCGAAGGCGGCUUACUGGACUGUAACUGACGUUGAGGCUCGAAAGCGUGGGGAGCAAACAGGAUUAGAUACCCCGGUAGUC